rnacentral:rRNA from 1 species
UACGUAGGGUGCAAGCGUUAAUCGGAAUUACUGGGCGUAAAGCGUGCGCAGGCGGUUUGGUAAGACAGAUGUGAAAUCCCCGGGCUUAACCUGGGAAUUGCAUUUGUGACUGCCCGGCUAGAGUGUGUCAGAGGGAGGUAGAAUUCCACGUGUAGCAGUGAAAUGCGUAGAUAUGUGGAGGAAUACCGAUGGCGAAGGCAGCCUCCUGGGAUAACACUGACGCUCAUGCACGAAAGCGUGGGGAGCAAACAGG